CUACUCCACACUCAACCUGGCUGCUGUCCCCCCUGUCCUCAGCUGCACUGAAACAGAGCAGCGAAGGCACAAGCCAAGAACCAUGGGUGUGAAACCAGGCAGAGUGAGUGACAUGGUGUUCACUUCCACUAAGCCAAAGCAGUUUACAGUUGCUGAUGGUGUAAGGAGUACACGUUACAAGGCCGUGCGGGGGGAGCUGCCAGACCCAGAUGUCCUCAAAGUCAGCGAGGCAUACAAGGACUUCUCAGCAGACAUCGCACCACGAAAAAAGAACGAAUGAAUCACUACUCAACUCAACGACUAACACUCUUUCAGAGGAUAUGUUGGAAAUGCACACAUUAUAUAUCUUUUUUGCAUCUACUUUCUGGAUAUUGUACAUCUGUUCAUCUGUUAUAUAAACUAGCAUUACUUAAAUAUGCAGAGACUAAUUGAAAUGUUUAAAUAUGUAUUUUCCCCCCCCGAUAUAACAUCAACCUAUGUUUU